CGACUAUGCGAUGCCGGCCGCUCUGGCGCGCCGUUCCUUUGUUCUGCCGGCGUCGGCGUCGCUGACGGCCGCGCCGAUACAACUUGGCGACGAGGUUUCCCAAUCCAUCUGCAAUCCAUAAGUCGCUGCUGCCAGGCACGCCACGCCGGAGCACAAGGCGCUCCCUGUUAAACGCCUUAGGCUUCGAGGGAUUGGGCAUCUACCUGCGCGCCGCCGAGGAGGAGACGCAGCCGGGAGCUGACCCUGCAACUGAAGACGAGGCGUCGGACGCCUACAAGGUAGCACUGCUUGAUCAAUGCUUCGACCCACAGCAAGACCCGGCGUGCGUUCGGGCAUACUUCAUACUCAUGCGGCAACGGCCAGAUGAGACCGCCGUCCAAUUCAUAUGCGGUCCAUA
rnacentral:lncRNA from 1 species